CGUAGGUUUGCACACACGUCCCGACCGUGCACUUCCGGGUUCGGAGGGACAGCAGCACACACACACACCUGAUUUGGUAAGUUGUUCAUUAUUUAUUAUGUAUAUAAAGUUUAUAUGUACACUCUAUAUUUGACCUUGAAAAAGACCCUUAGGGGUCAAAACGUUGGGACAACCUUGAAAUAACAGAAUAAACUUCACGUUUGGAAGAAGACCUGUGAGUGCACCUCUUUAUUUGUUAUUUAUAUAUAUAUAUAUAUAUAUAUAUAUAAUAUUAGUUGUCUUAAUAUCUUAGAUGUUUAAUGAUUUUCCCUGUGUUAAGGUGACUGGACAAUACUUUUACACAAUGCGUCAUUACUUCUGAUUCCUCCUUGAUUUCUCUGCCUUUAGGGGAUACUUCCUUUUUUUUCACCACAAAGUCCAGAGCAUUUUUUUAUUUAUUUAUACUGCAUCUAUUGAACUCUUUCUAAUUUAGUAUUCUCAUGCAAAUAUAUUAACAAACAGCAAUAUAUUUACAAACAGCAAUAUAUAUAUAUAUAUAUAUAUAUAUAUAUAUAUAUAUGUUGUUUGUUAAUAAAUGAAUAAAAUGUAUAAAAAAUGGAAAGUAGGACUUUGUUUAACUAUAAUUAUUAAACAAACAAAACACACACAGUUUUAAGUUUGGAUUAAGGAAAUGAUUAGUCUUGGUUAAUUUUAGAUCAAUGAUGUCCAACUUAUUCAGUAUGGAGGACGUGCAAUAAGAAUAGUAGAAGUGUGGCAUGCACUUGCUCAGUGCUACGCUUGCUGAGAAAACAAAACCAAAAUAUAGAUGGAGCCACAACACUAGUCUUAUGUCAACAAUGAGUUCAUUCCACCAACAAGUGAACCUGGAAACAUUUUGACCCACACAGGGGUCAUUGUCAAGCCUUGUGUGGCUUGGAAUGUUGCCAACAAGCUUAAGUGCUUUAGGGUUUGAAGUGUUCAUUUACAUGAAUUUAUUUAAAAGUAAAAAGGGCACAAAUAGGCACCCCACAGAUUCUUAGAACAUGUAGAACUAGUGUGAUAGGCAGCAAAUGUCCCUACUGAAGAUCCUGAAGACUUCUGGCUCUAGGGAUUAAUUAAUUUUUCUGCAAUUCAUUUACUGCCACAAAUUAGAGUGGUCAGUUUCUGCUUCAACAGAUGGCAGUGGUAUAGUUAACUUGCAAUGUCUGUUUAUAAAAGAUAGGCUGCGGGAGAGUUGGCUAUGCAAUUUUUAACCUCUUCUUGAGUUUAGAGAGCUUUUCAUGGUGGUCACUUUAGUUAGGUAUCAAUAUUUUCUCUUUACCUAGAGCAGGCUACAGGCAACUUAAUCACUAAGAACCUCAGAGUUUUUCUUUUCAUGAAGUCACAUUGUAUUUCCCACAUUAAACUGGAAUUGAGCUGGGAAUAGCAUAGCAGAAAAGUCCAUAAUUUAUCAUACAGAGUAUUUGUUCAAUCAUUUGUGUGUUUGCUCAAUGAUUUCUGUAGUUUUUUUUUUGUUAGUUUGUUUUUUUGUGCAUUACAUGCAAUAACACGUAGCCAACAUAAUAUAUACUACAGCCUGUUGCAAGUCGAAAGGAAAAGGGGUUAUAAACAAUAUAAUUAGCAAGUGGAAAUUAUUUAAUAAACAGCCAGUUGUUCAUAAUGGACAAGGGACUUUUAAAAUGUGACCACGCGGUUAAUUGGAAAAUACCUUUAUCUAUAUUGGCUCUUCUGGCCAAUGUUAUGGCCAACGUUAUGUAAUUCAUCUCUAUUUACUGUAGUGGACUGUUUGGAGAAUAAACCCUUGAAUAAAUAUUGGCUAGACAAUAUUUCUUCAAUGAAUGACCAGAAUAUAUAAGCUGUGACUUUCCAUGAAAAGCCAAGUAAUAGCUUCCCCUGCCUGUGCCUUUAAUUACAGAUCACGUAUGUGGAAGACUGAUUAAAGGAUUAGACUCUUAUCCAAACGUAUUGUAGCUCUCAUUUGUCCUUUGCAGUGUAGCCCUGUGUCAUGUCUCUCAAUGUCACGAAAAUCCUUUGGAACUCAACAACAAAGAUUUCUAUUCAUUACUAAGAAAAACUACAUGAAGGUAACGUGACAAGACUCAUUCACAAGGUCAAAACUUUGGAAAUACCCAGUAAUGGGUUCAUUGACUUCCAUAUCUCAGCCAAUUUCUUUUUUUCCAUAUGUUCUGAAUCUGCUGUAAAAUUUCUGCUUGGCACAGAAAACUGUUAAUGCUGUUGCAGCAAACACUAUUAAUAGUAUGUUUUAAAUGUGUUAUUUCAGUAAUCUCUUUUUCCUACUAACUCACAUUAAUAGCUGAUAGAUAGACAGACAGACAGAUAGAUAGAUAGAUAGAUAGAUAGAUAGAUAGAUAGAUAGAUAAUAUCUACCCAUGAUGAAUUAAAAGCCAACCAAGGUACAGAAUCAGGAAAGUCCUAUCACUAGUGAAGAAAAAGCAAAACUAUGAUAUUUUAACAAUAAAAUCUAUCAAUGUGUGUGCAAAGAUGCAAUUAAUGUUUAAAACAAGAAAGUGAUAGUGGUCCACAUGGUCACAUAGAAUACAGAGGGAACUCUGCUCUCUUUUUGAUCCCUGUUACAGUUGUGAGAUAGCCCUGUAGCUCUGUACCAGAUUAUGGCAAGAAAAGUUUUUUUAAGCUAUGGAUGGGGCAAUUCCUAGUUCUACGUUUGAGGAUUCAAGUACAUUGAAUGCCAACAGGGGGCUUUUAGGAGAAUUGUCCUGCCCGUAUUUACUUCAGAUUUUUAUUUGCAAAGGGAAAGUUAAAGGGACAUGCAUCCCUGUGAGACAACUAUAUUAUUCGAAAGUUUUUUGUUUUGAACAACAGUUUCUUUCUUCAAGAAGAAAAGCAGGCAACAAACAAUAAGGUACAAAAAAAUUAAAUCAUAUAUACCUGCUUCUUCUUGCUCGCUCUUUCUAUGCCCACUCCAGGAGGGACAUGAUCUAACCAAUCAGAGUCUUGGAGUGAAGCAGAGACGUCCAUAGAGACUGUCUGUUUUCAAACACCGUCUGACCCAAGGUGCAUGUAUAUGGCUAAAGGAUCCUGUCACAUACUAAAGGUUGGGAUUAGUUUUUCGAAUUAUUUUUUUUCAAGUACUUUAUUUAACACAGAAUCUAUCUCCUAUCAAAACUUGAUGAACGGAUCAUUAUAUUAAAAAAAAAUAAAAAAAAUUUACAUGACAGUUGCCCUUUAACAGAAUACAAUUUACUUAGGACCAGAGAAUAGGACAUCUACUGUUCAUUCAUUAUGGUGUGCACAACACCCUUCUAUUUACCAUCUACAUUAUUCCCACCUCUAAUUCUUGAGCUUGGUAAGGGAAGGUGGGUAACUAUUGGCAAACGUUGCAAUCUGUUACAUACCCCCUAACAUUGAAAAUGGACAAAAAAAAAGAACACUGUAAUUUUAGAGGUGGGCUGUUCUAUGGCAUACGAAUAACAAUUUAUUUACACAGAUUGAUUUCUACACACAUUUAUUUUAGUUCAAAGACACAUUACUGUGAGUUUUACACUCAGAUACACCAACAAAAUAGAACUCAUAGAAAAGAGGGUCAUUAGGAUAUAAAGGGAGUAAUUUGGGUCCAAAAUAGGGAAUGCCCUUUCUAAACAGGGACAGUUGGGAGGUAUGUGUGUACUGCACACAUUCACAUGGGGCAGGGGAAGGAGUGGGCGACCUAAACAUGGAAAGGAGCGCCAGGCUGCUACUGCACUGGAUCUGAUAACCUAUUCAUGUGCUUUUACUGUGCCUUCAAGUAUAUUCAAAUAUAGUUAUGGUUAUUACAUAUUAUAAUGCUAAUAUUUUCCUUCACAUCUGAAAGUAAUUUGACUGCUCUUCACCAUUCUUAGAAACACGCACAAUAACGCAAGUCAUACAACAAAUGUCCCUAAAUAAUCAGUAGACAAUACAAAUUUAUGAACAAACAUAACAAGGAACAGAAAGGGGUGCAAAUGAGAGCAGGAGAAAGAAGUUGCAUGUUCAAAAAAAAAAAAAACACAGGGAAAACAGGGAAUAGGCAAAUGGAACCUUUAAGAAACAUUACCAUGUCAGGUAAAAGUGACUGCAAUUUGUUGCAGCAUUAGAAUUUUCCAAAUUUUAAAAAUGUAAAUUCUAGGACAUUGCCCAAACUAAAACCGAUGGUAAACCUCAAGUUUGGCUUACUAGCUGCCUAAACCCACCUACAAUAAAAAUAGUAUUGUCAUUAACAUACAUGAAAUAUUAAAUGUUGAAAAAUCCCUACAAUGAAUAUCAUUGCAAAGCUAGUUACUUAGUUCUAUGCAUCUUUUUCAGUUGAAGUCUGACACUUCUUGAAUUUUCACAUUUUGUUCUGUAUCCAGUGCUCCUUAUCUACAUAUAGCACUUUACAUCCUUCAGAAAUACCCAUUCCCUUCACAUCACAUACACAUUUUCACUGUACCAUUUUCAUAUACAGUUUAUUCUGAUCUAUAUUUGUCUUCACAUCAGAUUCUCUGCCAUGUGUUUUAUUUGUCCUGUUAUUAUUUGUCAAAUGUAUACAGAUAAAUCGACAUAUGCACUCCCAGUAAGGUACUGCACACUUUAAAAUACAUGUAUAUAUUCAAUAAAUAUUAUCCAUGGGGAAACAAAAAUACAUGUAUAUGCAGGAACACUGCACAGAGUCGCACAGACAAACUUAAAAGUAUUUUGUACUUCCUCACCUAGAAUGCCAGAUAAAAGGAAUACUAGUAGACUUUGAAUACACUGGAUGUUCUAUAAAAAUUUAAGCUCAUCUGUGACGGUACCUACAACUUAUGCUCUUUUGAAAAGGCAUAACAUUUAAUUUAUACAUUGUACUAGCAGAUUUGCUGGCCAAUGUGUAGAUUGGGGGAAAAACCUAUUUAUAAUAUAGGUGUUUUCAUGAUCUGUCAGUCAAUUCCUUAGCAUCAACAGGGUUGAUGUUCCAGGAGGGAUACGGCAAAUGGCAAAUGAUUUAGGUAAACUAGAAAAAUGGUCAGAGCUGUGACAGCUGACAUCUAAUGUGGAUAAGUGCAAGAUAAUGCAUCUUGGACGUAAAAACCCAAGGGCAGAGUACAGAAUAUUUGAUACCCUACUAACGUCAAUACCUGAGGAAAGGGAUUUAUGGCUGAUUAUUUCUGAUGAUUUAAAGUUAGGCAGACAAUGUAAUAGAGCAGCUGGAAAUGCUAGCAGAAUGCUUGGUUGUAUAUGAAGAAGUAUUAGCAAUAGAAAGAGGGAAAUGCUCAUACCAUUCUACAGAACACUGGUGAGACCUCACUUGGAGUAUUGUACGCAGUACUGGAGACGGUAUCUUCAGAAGGAUUUUGAAACUUUAGAGAGAGUUCAAAGAAGGGCUACUAAACUGGUUCAUGGAUUGCAGGAUAAAACUUACCAGGAAAGGUUAAAGGAUCUUAACAUGUAUAGCUUUGAAGAAAGACGAGACGGGGGGAUAUGAUAGAAACAUUUAAAUAUAUAAAGGGAAUCAACACAGUAAAGGAAGAGACUAUAUUUAAAAGAAGAAAAAACUACCACAACAAGAGGAGUCUUAAAUUAGAGGGGCAAAGGUUUAAAAAUUAUUUCAGGAAGUAUUACGUUACAGAGAGGCUUGUGGACGCAUGGAAUAGCCUUCCAGCUGCAGUGGUUAACACAGUGAGGGAGUUUAAGCAUGCAUGUGAUAGGCAUAAGGCUAUCCUAGACUUAAGAUAAGGCCAGGGACUAAUGAAAGUGUUUCCAAAAUUGGGCAGACUAGAUGGGCCGAAUGGUUCUUAUCUGCUGUCACAUUCUAUGUUUCUAGACUUUACGUCGAAGAAUUAACUGACAAGGGAGGGCAGAAAAGACCUUCCACAGACAGUACUUUUGCUCUCCUCUGAUUGCAACCACAGUGCAUGACCAGGUAGAGUAGAGGUGGGUUUUAUUGAAGAGUAACACCCAUUAAAAUGAGGACAUGGCGGUCCUCAUUUUAUAGAGGAAAUGGGAUAUUCGGAGUGAAUGUGCUGCAAUAUCUUUGUCACCUUAUCUUAUGGCACCAUAAGAUUUACAUCAGUUUUUACCCACAUAUUUCUAUUUUCUAUGAUAAAUGCAUCACUUUCCUUUGGCAUCAUGUUUGGUCUCUCUCUAACCCUUCUAUUAACUGUAUGAGACAAUAUAUGAAAUUUUUCUCACUCAAGCAUCCAGUUCACAACUACAAUGCAAACUAGACUGUUGCACCCAUUUAUUGCGCCAAAACUGUUCCAAUACAAUUCAGACACAAUUUAGUGUUUAGUAAUUAUACAACAUACUAAACCUCGCAUGAACAUCUGAUGUUUACUUCAACAGACACUGUUAAAAUAUUGCAAAUUGCAAAACCUACCAGUUUUCUAAUUGCUUUUAGUAACUUCCAGUAAUAUAUUUUUUUUUCAAUCAAAUUUGCCUAUUAUAUAAGAAUUUUGGUGUAGAAUGUACAUUCAGUUCUUAGCGGAUAACUAAUAAUAAACCAAGUAGUCACUAAAAUACAGUGCCAGGUCCCUCACCCCUGCACCCUCACUCAGCAGGUAGGUCUUCAAAUUAAGUGGGUGAUUGGACAGAUCACUGUGCACCCCCUGUGCCUUCCCCAACCAGCAGGUGGACUCUAAUAAUAUUAAUACAUUUUUGAUUCUUCCCGUAGUGGCAUAUUUUAAGGACAUCAGUAGAUUAUACUUUAUCCACAACCAAACCAUAGUCAAUCUGGGAUGUAUGGGCAAGCCGGGAUAAAACAUAUACGGUCACCAUACACCUCAGUGAUCAUGGUCUUUAUCUCUCUGUAUGAUGCUGUGGCGUUUGUAUUUUGCUUCAUAAAUUACUUACAAAGAUAAGAUACAUAACCAUUCUUCUGAAAAUUCACACUCUCUACAAAUUACUUAGAUCAUUGUGACCUUUUUUUUUUUGUUUGUUUUGAUCGAGCAUACUUUCCGAGUUUGAGUUUUUUUAUUUGUUAGUAUAUGGUUUCGUACAAUAAUUAUAAUACAUAUAAUCUGAGGCAAACAUACUUGAUAUGUCAAUCAAAGUGCAAAUUCAUUCAAAUUCAUCUUUAGAAACUUUGUUGCAUCAAGAAAUUUCUGUGCUAUUCCAGGUUUACAGAGGCAGAAAACUUGUGUAUCUUUCUAAAAGGAACACUAUAGGGUCAGGAACACAACCAUGUAUUUCUGACCUAUUGUGCUAAACCCACCAUUAAGGUGGCUUUCCCCCCCUUAACCCCUUUAAAAACUUUAAAACUCACUUUAUUUCCAGAAUCAGAAUUGCUGAUUUUUAGCCGAUCCAAUGCUUUCCCACGGGGAAAGCAUUGGGUCGGCUAAAAUCAGCGAGGGGCAGGGCCAAAUGCUGUUUUGGCGGGUCAGCACCUCCUCAUAGAGAUGCAUUGAAUCAAUGCAUCUCUAUGAGGAAAAUUCAGCAUCCACAUGCAGAGCGUGGAGACGCUGAACAGCACUGCUGCCUACUGUGCAGCACUGAGCCAGGAAGCACCUCCAGUGUCCAUCUGAGGAGUAGCCACUUGGAGGUGUCCCUAGGGGGCAAUGUAAACACUGCUUUUUCUUUUCUUUUCUUUUCUGAAAAGGCAGUGUUUGCAUGAAAAUACCUGCAUAUAAUGCUUAUACUCACCACAACAACUACAUUAAGCUGUAGUUGUUCUGGUGACUAUAGUGUCCCUUUACGUUUGGACUGGUAGCAAAUAAAAAAUACUGUUAGUGGUGGUUUUUCUAUACUUAAUCUGGGUGUGCAUUUUCUUUCUGGUGAAUUUUCUGCGUCUUUUGACAUACCUUGUGAUGAUUCUUGGUCUGACAUUUUGGUUGCUCUUUUUAAUCUUAGCAUAUAAAGUCUAUGACAUGUUAUAUGGUAGAAAAAAAUAGUCUCUUGGGGACAUGCACUAAAGUGAGAAUUAAAAGUGAAUUUUAAAUUUAAGGCCACGCUAGCCAAAAUGAAAUCAUAGCGAAGUAGAGAAUUUCUCAAAUUUGGCCAUUUUGACAUGAAAUAUUAAAUUAACUAUGAAACAAACUUUAAAUUCUCAUUUUAGUAAAUAAUGUUGUCUAUUUCUAAAAGUUCACCAUCAUUUAACAGAGAUCAGCAAAUUUGCUUUUGGCAAAUUCAAUUCUGUCCCCUACUUUCUCGCUCCUGUGAUUUGCACAGAACACAAGAACUAGUUUCAACAAAGUAUUUUCUCUUCUUCUUUUGGGGAGACCAUUGUCACGGGGUCCAUUUUUAUUUUAUUCAAAUACAGCUCAAAAAUUACCUGAAACAGAAAAUAACAAGAAUUCAUUUAUUAUUUUAUGCUUGCUAGCGAAAAAAUGAUAUAUAAAAUUCCUUUACAAAAAUGAAUAAAGCAGUCCUUAUAAGAGUUUAGCUAUAAUGUCCAUGUUAACCAUCUGUCCCUUUUUCAGAGGCAAUCUCUAGUUCUGGCUGCAUGUCCUGCUAUCCUGCUGUACUGGCAUUUAUCCCAGCUUUUAAACUGGCAUUCUAACCCCAUACACCAAGUAAGCAGUCCUCUGGGGCAGUACAUUAUGUGCCUGUCAGUAAAGAGACAGAAAACUUUCCUCAUUUCAAUAAAUAUGAAAUACUGAAUUUGUAUCAUUUAGUAUUUAGGUGUCAUAAUCUUAUAUCUGAUAAUGAAGCAAAUAUAUUUAUAAAUUAUUCCUAGGGUUUAUUUUGACCCUUAAUUACACAGAUCUCCCAACAUGUAAUGACUAUGGGCCAUGUGGUAUCCAUUAUCACCUAAGUAGCAACGAAUUACUGAACCAUGGUCAUCUAACGAGAACAUUCUAAGUUAGAACAUUUGUCUAUCUUAGCUAUUUUCUGACUUGGUUAUUUAUUUAUUUUAUUCUGUAACUAAAUAAAUAAAUAUUUAAUAUUUAAAUAUUACCAAAACACAUGGAAAGACUUAUUUUACUUACGAAAAGUACACAAUGUUGUCAAAUUUCAAAAAUCUAUCUCCAUUCUUGACAUUCUGCAUAGUGUGAACUAUAAAUGAAUGUUUAUAGUAGCCUCACCCUUUAGGUUCAGUUUAUCUAUUCUGCCAUGCGAUGGGUAACAAAUAGAUCUUUCGAUCUGUUAGCUUUAAGUUCGUUAGUGUAAAUCUCCCCUAGCCUACUCUGUAACUGAGAUAUUGAGUGCUAUAAUGGUCAUAAUUUGGUCUGAGAGUACUAACUCUUUAAAUAUUAUAUAGAUGAAAAUAAAGAGUAAAAUCAUGUUGCAACUUGCAGCAUUUUUUACUAUCACUGUUACUAAAGAUUAAUACUGUAAUUUCUAAUUGGAUUAAUUGAGGCUUAAGUGUGAAGUGGAUAUCCCAUCUGCACAGUGGAUGCUAUUUUCUUUUAAUUAUUAUAUUUGUAAGUAUAAUAUUGGUUUCUACCCAUAUAUAUUUAAUGCUUUUAAAUUUAUAAGUGAACAUAUUCAGUAACACUUUUGAGCUGGCAUAGUGUUGAUUGGGUUCAUCUCGAUUGGUUUAAAAAAAAUAAAGGGGAAGUGGGGGAUAAACAAAAAACACAACCUUAAAACUAAAAGAAACUGGGAACUGAACUUGUUUCACAUCCUCAGUUUCUUUUUGUUUUAGUUUUGUUUUUUGUUCUCCCCUCCUCCUUUUUUUGAUUCCCAGUGCAGGGAUGUGUUGUUUUUUUCAGUAAGUUCUUUUGCGUUGGGUACCCAACGUCCUUUUUAAUAGUGGAACGCAUGUUGUGCUCCACAAAGACCUAUAGGAAGUGAAGAUUUCACCACCCCGACCUGCGAAAAUGAUGCGAUAGUAAGGCAAGUGGAAUGAUAUACAGAAAGAGGAAGUGACGCAAAUACGGAGCACCUCAAUGAGAACAUGUGGAACACACAGUGCAUUUCUGAAGGAGGAAAAACCAUGGGAACUUAAGUUUUGAAGGUAUAAAGGACUGUGAAGGGAUUCUAAAAAGGCUAUAAACCAACUGAGGAAGCCGAAUUUAACGAAACACGUUUUAGUGACUGUGGCGGGACCACUGCCUUUCUGUCAAUUGUCUUUCUUUGUAUUAUGCAUGUUUCCCCAUCCUUUCUUUUAUUGUACCCACUCCCCAUUCGAGAGGUCUUCCACGAAGGGAAUUCAUUCUCCUUCCGAAUGGGGACCACCCCGGUACCUCAUUUAGAAUGUUAGGUUACAAUGUUCGUACCUCGCAACAUAGGUGUCAAACCGCAAAGGGAAACAGUAAAUGAGUGCUUCCCUGGGUGGCAGCAUUCGUGGAUUGUUUUCCCGACUUGUUCGUCUCACGAACGAAGACCUCCCCGGUGCCCCAUUAGAACAUUUGCACCAAUUAAUCAGAACGUUCACACUCGCAACACAAGUGUGAAACCGCAAGGGAAGUAAUUAAUAAGUGCUUCCCUGGGUGGCUGCCGUUUUGUAUAGACGAAUGCUGUCCAGGGGAGCAUUCAUAUCCCGAAAGGAGUAGCUUUCCUUGCAGGGUUUCACCCAGUGACCUUGCGAGCGGAGACUGGGCAAAGAAAUGUACCACUGUGAGGGUCCCUGGGGUUGGUGUGGACACUUCUGGGGCACUGGCUAGGUUGGCGGGCUUGGAUGUUCCUGCGGAAAUUAGCAGAGGUAACCAAUUGGGUUACUCAUGGUCUGCUACAGUGACUAGACUUAUUGGACUCAAGCAUUAUUGCUUUAUUUAUUUUAUUUUACUUUUAAGAAUAAAUUGUGAUUUCUUUUCACCCAUCCAAGAGUCAUCUAUUUCUUCAAGAGAGGGAAUAUUUUUGCUCCACAUGGAUCUUACGAGGUGAGGAUCUCCCUAACUAUACACACCAGAGCCAGAUGACUGUAUAUCUCUUUAUUUGUGAGUGAAUCCUUAUUACAUGAUAUAAAUAAUUUUGGCAUAAAGGAUUAUCUGCACUAUUUGUCCCUCUUCUUUGCUUCUGCAGAAACAGAGACAAAAUAAGAAUAGAGGAAAGUAUUUAUUUAUAUGUUUUUUGUUUGCUCCACCCAGUGUAUACUUUUUUUUUUCUUUUGAAUGAGGUACUGCUGUUUUGUGAGAAUUUUCAGCUCUGGACAUUUGCCUGCCUCUUUAGCUUAGUGGAGCUAAACAACAAUGAACAGAAACAGUUGUCUGAUUGACAGUCAAGGGGUGUAACAAUGUAAAUUUCUACUGAAAUCUGCAGUUUUUUUAAAAUAAAAAAAAUACACUCUGCACACAUGACGCAUUUCAGCAAACUGGAAGUCUGGAGUGUCCCUUUAAAGAGACUCUAUAAUGUCAAAAAUAUUAUGGUGCUAAAGCUUUUCUAUGUGUAUAGAGCUAGCUACAUAUAUAAUUACUGUAUCAAUGGAAAGUUAUUUUACUUUAUGUAUCUAUUUGUACAUUUCCAGUGCCAGUGAUGGCAGGUUCCUCUGUUCCUCUGCACCCAAUAAAGAAAUUUUACAAAAAUAGACAUUUUCUGGGACAAACAAAUUUUGGCCAUAUGUUGUCUCGGUUCAAGAAAAUUUUGGUACUGAAAACCCAAACCAAAACAGACCAGUCAGUGCACUGCACAAUAAAUGAAUAAUGUAAUAUUAUGUAUAUAUUUUGACACUGAUAGGUGCAAUUUUGUGCUAUCUGGUUCAGAAAUCAAUUGAGAAAACGUAAUGGGGAAAGCACAGUACAAAAACCACAACAUUUAUAUACGAAUUAUAUAUUUAUAAGCUACAUAUAAUAUACAAAUAUAGAUUUUUUUUCUUCCCUCUAUUGCUCACUUCUUACAUAAUCUAUGAAUACAAUCAACAUUUAUUGACUAUCCCCUAGCCAUCAAUCCUUUUUUUCCCCAUCAAUAAUCUUUUUUCUGGUGCCAUGGGCUGAAUUCAGAAUUACAGAUCAAAACGAAGAUGUUCAGACAUUGUGCAGCUUGUUUAGUUCAUGAUUAAGGUACAUUUUGGUUCAGAGUUUAGGAAAGUGAUUGGUUGCUCGAUUGUCCUAAAUUUGGAAAAAUUCCGCUUUGGACUGAAACAAAUCUCCAGGAGUAAUGCAUAUAACAAGCACACGUGUAGCCACACAUGCCCAAAGAUGCUUUUAGGGAUGUUAUGUACAUAAUUUGGGUAGGCAGUGGAGGCACAGUCAGCCACAUAUAUUUACAGCAGUCAGCCUGGUUAAGGGAAUAACAAAUCCUUAGCUAAGUGCGACUUUAAAGCGGCACUGUCAUGCCAAACUUACCUUUCCCCAAUCGCUUCCUCUUCUCUCCCUCUCUCAGGAUUUGUUCUUCUUUUCUUCCUGUCUUCUCUAGUUUUCUUUAAAGGAGUUUUCCCACAAUUCUCACCUGAUCUCGCUAUGCUUCCUUUAACUAUUUCCCAGCACCCUGUCAUAUAGAUAGGAUGCCGGAGAAACUACAGAAUUCCAUCCUUAGUAAAUAGCUCCCUAAUUCCCACGAUAUUAGGGAUCUCUCUACCAAAAGGCUGAAAGACCCAAACUGGUCUAAUGUGCGUGCACGGCAUUGCAAGGUACAGAGAAAAACAACUUAAAUAGGGAAGAUAUUAUAGUAUGUAUAUUACAGAAAUGUCCAGAUUAUAAAGUCCAGAGGUUGGAAAAGCACAACACUAGUAUUCACAUAUGGAUGCAAGUUAGCCAGGGGUGGUAUCCGGAAGUUCAGGCAGGAUUCUUCUAUGGGGAUGUUAGAGUUGAUCAACAAUGGAUUUGUAUGUGGAAGAAGAAAGGAGAUGAUUGUGCAAUAUAUUCUAACAUAGAGAGUAUAAAAUGAAUAAGAUAUGGUCCUACUCACGUUUUAUGGAGCUAGAACUAGUGUGCAGUGGUACAAUCCCCACUUUAAAGGAUACGUGAAUAUAGCUUCUCGGUUGUGUGAGGACCAUAAAUUAUAAAAAGAAAUGACAAAUAGUGUUCACAGUUUAAAAUAACAGGAAUAUACAUAGUGAAUAUUGUAUGCACUUGUUCCAGAGCAGGCAAACUGCUCUAUGGAUAGGGCGUGGGUGGAAUAAUCCCCACCAAGGAUAUAACUUGGAAGUGAUGUUCACUGGAAAUAAAAUCAGGUGCCAGGCAGUGCAAAGUAAAAAUAAUAACAUAGUAGCAAAAAUGUAAAUGUAGAAUAAAAAAAGAGUUAAAGUAACCAAAAUACCUUUAUUUAUACAUAAUAAAAUAUCCAAAUAAAAACCAAAACGCGUUUCACCUUAAAAGGCUUUUUCAAGUGGAGGUAAGGAAAAAACUGACCUGGCUAGUUCAGGUUUAUAUAGGGAGAAAAUAAAAGAAAAAAAUGAAAAGGGUGAGAAAUAUUUGCCUCCUGUCGUUAAUAAAAUUAAAAUUAUAGGUACACUUCGUUAGCAUAAUCUACAAUUUUAUCACAUAACAGGAGGCUUCAUAUUGGCAGUUUUGAUGCUGAGAAUUUAGAAAAGUGAAAGAAACAUGAGAGGACUGUCUGAAGAAAAACACACCGAAGUGUGGAACGCUCACGAAGUCGCAGCUCUGCGAAGCGAGUGUGCUCUGAAGCUGGAAUCUAUCCCAGCCAAAGACAAAAGCCAGCGAAUCAAUCAGGUCAGAUUUGUAGUUGAGACUGGCUUAUGGGGUCUAACAUAUGACACCAAAAGUUAGCCGAAGGGGCAGCCCGUAAGGGUGCCAUAACCUCGACAUAUCGUAAAAGCGUGUCCACAACACACAAUCAGGGGAACACUUGAAAAAACGGAUAUGAAAUGGAGGAAGAAUCCAAUUUCGCACAGCGUGACAUAUGAAAGGAGACACCAUCCAGGGAAAAGAAAAACCCAUCCACGUCAAACACCCAAACAUCCGAAACACGUCAAAAUUAGCUGAGGCAUAACAGCAUCGUAAGUUUGCAGAAUGCUGACGCAGACACAAGCCCAAAUGAUCUGGCCAAUCUUGAAGAAAGCGCAGCACCAAAUCAACGUCCCAGAGACAAGGAUAUUAGGUGUGGGAGGCCUUGAUAACUUGAUCCCCCUCAAAAGGCAACAGACCAUAGCGUCCUGCCCCCAAUUACUCCAAGCCUUCCAGGCCGACACAUAGCAUCGUAACAGGGUUGAUGUUCCAGGAGGGAUAAGCCAAAUGACAAAUGAUUUAGGUAAACUAAAAAAAUGGUCAGAAUUGUGGCAACUGACAUUUAAUGUGGAUAAGUGCAAGAUAAUGCAUCUUGGACGUAAAAACCCAAGGGCAGAGUACAGAAUAUUUGAUAGAGUCCUAACCUCAACAUAUGAGGAAAGGGAUUUAGGGGUGAUUAUUUCUGAUGACUUAAAGGUAGGCAGACAAUGUAAUAGAGCAGAAGGAAAUGCUAGCAGAAUGCUUGGUUGUAUAGGGAGAGGUAUUAGCAGUAGAAAGAGGGAAGUGCUCAUGCCAUUGUACAGAACACUGGUGAGACCUCACUUGGAGUAUUGUACACAGUACUGGAGACCGUAUCUUCAGAAGGAUAUUGAUACCUUAGAGAGGGUUCAGAGAAGGGCUACUAAACUGGUUCAUGGAUUGCGGGAUAAAACUUACCAGGAAAGGUUAAAGGAUCUUAACAUGUAUAGCUUGGAGGAAAGACGAGACAGGGGGGAUAUGAUAGAAACAUUUAAAUAUAUAAAGGGAAUCAACACAGUAAAGGAGGAGACUAUAUUUAAAAGAAGAAAAACUACCACAACAAGAGGACAUAGUCUUAAAUUAGAGGGACAAAGGUUUAAAAAUAAUAUCAGGAAGUAUUACUUUACUGAGAGGGUAGUGGAUGCAUGGAAUAGCCUUCCAGCUGAAGUGGUAGAGGUUAACACAGUAAAAGGAGUUUAAGCAUGCGUGGGAUAGGCAUAAGGCUAUCCUAACUAUAAGAUAAGGCUAGGGACUAAUGAAAGUAUUUAGAAAAUUGGGCAGACUAGAUGGGCCGAAUGGUUCUUAUCUGCCGUCACAUUCUAUGUUUCUAUGUUUCUAUGUUUCUAUGAAACAGUUGGAAAGACCUUUGGCUAGGCUGUAUACUGAAAACGAUCCUGUGAUCACUUCCAGGCAGUUUAUGUGUAACCCGGUCUCUUCUUCUGAGCAGACCCCCAUGGAAGUGGUCGUGCAAUGAGCCCCCCAGCCCCAAAGGCUGGCGUCCGUUUCCACUAUGAGAGGGGUAUCAAGUGGUUGUAUGAGUGACCCAAACAAAAAAUGUUUUGCCUUCAACCUUUACAUAGCCCGGUAGUAUAGAGGUCCCGGGAAGAUUGCCUGUAUCAAGUAAGAUAGAAGACCCACGGUCCGGGCGACGAGUCGCAGGGGGACCAUAUCCAUACAUGGGAUCCAUAAGAUCUCCUUCCAGAUGGAUGCUAUCUUCACAAGAUAGUCUCAGAACGCAAUCCCUUGAGUCUAUCUCGAAGCUGAGGAAUUGUAUGACCUGGAAAUGGGAGAGAGCUGACUUAUGUCUGUUCACCCUGAAGCCAAAAGACUCUAGAAAGUGAACAACAAAAUUUGUCUGUGAUUGCAGUCUGGAUACUGCGUCGCAGAAGAUCAUCAGGUAGUCCAGUUAUACAGGGCAACGGAUGCCCCUGGAGGUGGGGCAUAACCGACUUCAGUAGCUUUGUGAAGCACCACGGAAUGGAACUGAGGUAGAAUGGCUGGCACAUAAAUUGGCACGUCCGACAGCCCUAGACGAACCAUAGAAAAUGACAACUCGCUUUAUUCGCUUCCUUAAGGUCAAGGCAGGUAAACCAGUCGUUGGCCAGCAGUAGAUGUAUUCCUUCCAUUUUGAAAUGUCUGUAUACUACGUAGUUGUUGAGCUGGUAGAGAUUGAUGACUGGCUGAAAUUCUCACAACAUUUUUUGACCAGGAAGAUGUUGCUGUAGAAGCCCCAACCAUCUGGGGCGAAUUGCACAGCUCCUUUGGUGAAUAGAGAGUGGAUCUCUUUGUCUAUGAGGAGCCUGUGGUUUCAUGAGACAUGCAAUGGAAGUGACUGGGGGGUUUGUACGGGGCAAGAGUGGAACUCAAUGGUAUACCCCUGUACCGUCUGAAUGAUCAAUGUGUCCGCCAUGAUCUCCAUCCAGUUCUGUAAGAAGAGAAAUAAACUGCUAGUGAUAACUGUAGUUAUAGGAGUACUUAAGGUGGGUCUCACCUGAAGAUUAGCAUCCGCGACCUCUGCCUUUAGAGCCUCUUGCCCGAUCAAUGCCUCUAUGGUAGGAGAUUCUCUAUGUGUAUGUCGGGUAGAAGGAUGGAGCUUGUGAGGAGGACCUGUGUCCAGUAGACCAAAAUCGGCUGGUGGCUUGGCCCCUCUGGUUUUUGUGACCCUACUGGUUCUGGUUGGGAUAGUGCCUGUAGCAGGGCUUUCUCAACUGAGGCCGCGACAGCUGCUUUAAUCAUAACCUGAAUCCCUUGCGUUGGUGGGGGUGUGUCGCCCAUAAUGGUUGGCUUGCCUGUUAAGGACAGCGAAAAUCAGUGGGUGCAUGAUAAGAGGAUACACACGCUAAGGUGCCAGGCUCCUAGUACAACUGGGGCACACCCAGAGAUCGGCUUCACAGUGUAGCCAUCUAUUGGUGGUAAUGCCAAGAAGAGGGGUUCACCCUCUAGGUGUAUGAGAGGGGGUUUCCCUGAAGUGAAAAGAGAGACGUGUGAGUCUCAUAAUUGUGGGAGUCGAUCCCCAUAUUAAUUUCCCCUCUGGGGUGGUUUCCAAGGGGUUCCCUUGAAUAUGUUGCCAAUGAAGAUGUAUUGUCGAAGGGGUUCACCCUAGUUGUAUGUCAAGGUGUACAGCAUGGUUUGAUAUUUAUAUCACAAGAUAUCCUGACAAAAAAGGGGGUUACCCCUGUAUAUGGGAGUAAGAUGAAACACCUGAAAUGAUAUCUGGGGGCUUACCACCACCAAGAUGACUGCUGUUACAAAACAUUGUGAUGACCAUGCCACAACCAAGAUGGCUGCUUCUGCACAACUUGCUAUUUCCACCACCAAAAUGGCUGCUGCCACAUCCAAGAUGUCUUCCACUACUCUUAAAGCUGCAACAUACAAUCUCACUAUGCCACUUGAAAUGGCUGAAGAUUUGCCACGAUCAGCUGGCAUUUUAAUUGAACUUAUCCAAAACUUUAGAGUGGACCUAAAAAUGACUUUAAAAAACUAUUUUGAGAGAAUCUAUUGAGUUAUGGAAAGAAUUAACCAGCACACAGAGGAAGUGGAAAAUAGAUUGCACUUCCAAGAACAAUCUCAUUUGGACUUGGUAGACACAGUAAAAGCGCCUCAAAAAUAGGUAAACCAACAGGCGGAUAAGUUACUGAGGAUAGAAGUAGGCGCAUACUGAGGAUAGAAGUAGGCGCAAUAGUUGAAGGAUCAGAGGGAUCCCCGAUAAUGUUGACACUGCGGAACUACCUAAUUAUUUUCAAAAUAUGGUACGGGUAGUUAAACCGACUGCCACUAACUCGGAAUUAUUGCUGGAACGUAUCCAUAGGCUGCCCAAGCUGCAACCAAGGAUGUAAUAGUGCGAUUUCACUAUUAUCACAUAAAAGAGGAUUUCUUGAGUGCAGUGGGCAUGUCUGGCCUCCCCGGGGAUGAUCACAACAUGAAAGUCUUCCAGGACUUUUCAGCCCCCACGAUGAGAUGGUGAAGGGAGUUCCAACCUUUUAUGUCGGAGUUGAGGUAUAAGGUACAGGUGAGGAUUCCCUGUUAAGGUACUUUUUGUACGUAUGGGCAAAAUUUUAGCAUCAUGUCGCCCAAGGAGGGAAUGGAAGUUCUUAACUCUAUGAGCAGACGUCCUGUACCAUCCCAUAUGCUUUUACCAUCUGUGCAGGCCAGCAAGAGGAGUAAACCGGAUGCUUUAUAAUGACGAACACUGUUCCUGAGUUCCUGAUUUACGAGUUCCAGUCUACCGAGUCCUAGUGUUCAAAUUUUCUGUUCACACCCCGCUUGAUGGAUUGAUUUAAUGUGUGACAUAUUUCACUGCUGCUUUUGCUUUUAUUUAUAUAUAUAUAUAUAUAUAUAUAUAUAUAUUUAUUUCCUGGCCAUAUCCAUGGCAGCACAACGAUGGGUAGCUCCUCCCUAUCCCUAGUUAGACAGGAACUAAUUAAAAUAAAUGUAUAAGUACCUCCUCCUAUUCCCUCCUCCCUCAGUCUUUUUGUUCCUGUCCUAUCCCUAUAGGACAUGUGUUUUUCCUUGGAACUAUUAUUUUUCUUUUAUGGCUUACCUGGGGUUUUGUUCCCCUGGCCCCUUGGGAGUUCAGCCUCUCUCCCUUGGGAAGUGUCCAGUUACACGGCCCUGCACAAAGGUGACCCCCCUGGAGAGUACCCCUUUAGUGAUCGGGGGUCUGGUACUUGCUGUAACCCAAGGGGUAGCAAGCUAUUAUGCCUGGUUCCCUAAUGCUGCAGUGACCCUAGGGGUAGCAGUGGGCCGGUGAAUAUGGACUGGACGUGUACCUUGCUGGUCUGGACUUCUUCCUGUUUCCGGCUUCCCUCUGCCUUUUCCGCUGUCCUUCUGAGGGAUAAGUCCCUGUGCUUUCUUUCAUUUUCACUUGGCGGUCGUAUGAAUUUUAGCUGUUCGUAUAAAUUCUGGUGAACGUUUGUUUGUUCACAUGAAUGGCUAUUUCGCCUGUUCGUUCGUCUGUAAAUUCGUCUGUAAAUUCGCCUGUUUGGUAGUCUAAUUCACACAGGUGAAAGCUCUGUGUAUGAUUUCAGAUGCCUAUUUAACAGCCCCCUGGUUCUCACACUCAUAGGAAUCAUUCUGGUGAAUGCUGCAUUGCUUCCUCCUAUCUCCUGCUGGAUUUUCGUUUCGUUUGCUUUUCCUUAAGAUAAAUGUCUUUUUAUUUUUUUAAAGUGGUAUCCUUCAAUUUGUUCUGAAUUUCAAUUUGAGAUUCUUUCUUGCAUUUGGUUCUUCAGAUGGAUAUGGAAGUCUCAAAUUCUUCUGAUUCUAAUUCUUCCCCACCUCACAAUAGGUCACAACCUAAGUUUUGUAGGUAAGCCAUGUUUUUUCUGGCUUGAUUUAUCUGGUAUUUAAAAGAGUGCGGAUCACUGAUACACUGUUCUAUCCCUAUUUCUGCAGUUCUAAGGGGAAGUGUCGUCCAAAGGGAAGUCGCCCAGAAGGACACAAUGUGUAUCCUGUGAUAACAGAGCCCUGGAGGGGAAACGUCUCUGUUUUUCUUGCCUAUCUGUGGCUUCAGGCCCAUCUCAAAGGCAGUCCUCCAUCCAACCUGCGCCUGACAUAAUGCAGUAUAUUUCACAAGCAGUCGCUCUGGGCAUUCAGGAAGCUGGGAAGUCCCGCUAGCGACAAAGGUGUUUGGAACCUUUGGAGUUUUCUCCAGACGUCUCUGAUGUGGAGUGUGGAAUCCCUGAGAGAUUUGGGUUCUGAGGAUGAUGUGCUUCCAGCUCCAGAUUUCCUAGAACCUGCUGAAAUUGACCAUUUGAUAUCCAGGGUCCGCAAGACUCUCAGUUUGAAGGAAUCUUCUAAGGAUGAGCCUUCCACAUCCAGUCGCCACUUCUCUGACCUCAGCAGGAAGAGGGUGACUUUUCCAGUCCAUGAGACUAUAAAAGACCUCAUCAAGGAGAAAUGGUCCAGAUUGGACAGAAAAUCGGACAGAAAAUCCUCUGCAAAAGGAAGAUUUUCCAGACUGUAUCCUUUUGAGGACGCUGACGCUGAAGCGUGGGAUUCCUCUUCCAAGGUGGAUGCGGCCGUGGUUGGAUUGGCCAAAUGUACCACUUUGCCUGUUGAUGAUGCAGGUUCCUUCAAAGACCCUAUGGACAGAAAGAUGGAAUUCAGUCUUUCCAAAGCAUAUCUGGCUUCAGGUACUGGCCUGCAUCCAGCAGUGGCCCUUAUGUCAGUAUCCAGGACACUUAAGGUUUGGAUGGAGAAUGUGGAGGAGGAUAUUAAGAACGGCAGGAGCCGUCCCUCCAUACUGGACAGCCUGAAGGAUCUGAAAUUGGCUGUUGACUUCUCAUCUGAAGCUGCGGUGGAUCUGGUAAGGUCCUUAGCCAGAAGUAUGGCUCUUUCAGUUUUGGCCAGGAGAGCGCUAUGGCUCAGAUCAUGGUCUGCUGAUGCCUCCUCCAAAGGCAGCUUGUGCUCCCUUCCUUUUCAUGGCGACAUGCUAUUCGGCAAGAAUCUGGAUGAUUGUAUUAAACGAGCAGCCGAAGGUAAAAAGGCCUUUCUGCUUCAAGACAACAGGCCCAAAGGUUCCUUUCGUGCAAAAAGGGAUCAUUACCCAUUUCGUGAAAGAAGAUUCUACAGACUGGGUAAGGAAUAUGGGAGAAAUCAAUCCUGGAGGAGCGGUCAACAUGGUGAUAGAGGUGGGAAGUCCCGAGGUUCCGCACUCUCCAAGAACUCCAAGAAUCUGUGACGGGCUCAUCUCCCUGUCAGGCGGUGUUGGAGCUCGCUUACUCCAAUUCCGUGUGGCAUGGGAGGAAUGGUUAAGCGACAACUGGGUUCUGGAUAUCAUCAGAAGGGGAUAUCUUCUAGCAUUUUGCAAACAUCCUCCUUCCAGUUCCUUCCAAAUCACAAAGUGGCCGGGAGACAAAGUAAAAAGGCUUGCUCUCCAGGUCUUCACUUCUUCUCUACAAAAAGAAGGAGUCAUUGUACCAGAAAGGACUCAAGGCUUCUAUUCAUACCUAUUUCUGACCGAAAAGUCCUCGGGAGGGUGGAGACCCAUCCUAAAUUUACACAUACUGAAUGGAUACUUGCAUAUCCGCAGAUUCAAGAUGGCGUCCCUUCAAUAAAUAGAGAAGGCUGUCUUUCCCAAUCAAUGGUUGUCAAUAGACUUGUUGGAUGCCUAUUUCCACAUCCCUAUAGCCCUGGCGCAUCAGAAAUACCUGAGGUUCACAGUAGGGGAGGCUCAUUUCCAAUUCACGGCCUUGCCUUUUGGUCUAAGCAUGGCUCCAAAGACCUUCAUGAAUGUACUUGUUGUUCUCAUCGCAGAACUGAGAAAACAGGGCAUAUCCAUCUUCCAUUACCUGGACGACAUCCUGAUUGUGGCAGACAACAAGGAUAGUUUGUAUUCCCAUGCAACUGUUUGCCUUCAGUUCCUACAAUGUCACGGUUGGAGGAUCAAUGUCAAAAAGAGCCAUCUGUGCCCGAGUCAGUCCAUGACAUACCUGGGUGCUCUGUUCGACACUUCCACGGGGACGAUUCAACUCUCCCCAGAGAGAAUCCUGAGAAUACAGAAACAGGUUGUGGAGAUGUUGGCAUGCAAGGUGACUUCAGCAAAGAAGACAAUGAGUCUCCUGGGUUUCAUGUCCUCCAUGAUAGGACUGACAAGGUGGGCACAAUGAAGAAUGAAGAGUUUUCAGGCGAACUUCGUCCUUCAAUUCUCCUCAAAGAGUCUACUCCAGGCCAUCAAGAUUCCGUUGUCAGUUCACAAUUCCCUGGUUUGGUGGCUGAACAGUGUCUCCUUAGCCAAGGGCUUCCCUCUGGGAGAUGUACAGUGGAUAGUAAUAAUGACGGAUGCCAGCCAUUGGGGUUGGGGAGCCUAUUGUCAAUGCGACUUCGUGUAGGAGGAGUGGACGUUCCCUGCGGACAACUUGCCUUCCAAUCUCCUGGAACUCUUUGCUGUUCUCGAAGCCCUGAAACACUUCUCUCUGCUAAUUCGUCACCGUUGGGUGAAGAUUCGGUUAGACAAUACUGCGGUGGUAGCCUACAUCAACCAUCAGGGUGGCACCAGGAGCCGCAGGAUGAUGGUGUUUAUGCAUCAGUUGAUGUCAUGGUCCCAACGACACCUGGCAGGCCUCACAGCAAUUCAUCUUCCAGGGAAACAAAAUCAGAUUGCAGAUUUUCUCAGCAGAUCCAGAAUUGAUCCGGGAGAGUGGUCUUUGUCAGACAACAUGUUCCAAAAGUAUAGUGGACAGAUGGGGCCUUCCUCAAGUGGACAGGAAGGUGCAGUGUUUCUUCACGAAGGACAACGAUCCUCUAGGGGAGGUACGCUCUUUCCAGAAACUGGUGAUUUCGAGAGGGGUAUGCAUUUCCCCCUUUUCCCCUGAUUUUUCCCAUUCUAAGGAGAAUGAGGAUGGUUCACGUCUCCCUCAUACUCAUAGCCCUGUUUUGGCUGUGCAGACCCUGGUUUCCUCUCCUGCAGAGCCAUUGUGUAGAGCCACCUUGGAGUCUUCCGAGAGUCCCAGACCUUCUGUGUCAAGGUCCUGUUCUCCACCCAGACCCGUACUCCCGCAACCUGAUGGCAUGGAGGUUGAAAUGGAAAGGCUGUUGAAUAAGAGCUUCUCUCAUGUGGUGGUAGACACUUUACUCAGGGCUAGGAAGCAUUCCAUUUCUAAUGCAUACUUUAUAAUUUGGGACGUUUUCUUUUCCUGGGCUUCAUCGAGGGAUGUUUUCAUCCAAUAUCUUAGACUUUCUUCAGUCCGGGCUCGAGCAGGGUCUGAGCUACAACACCUUGAAGGUUCACGUAUCUGCCUUUGAUUCGUACGUGGCCAGGUUUCUUAAAGCUGUUCUAAAAAUCAGACUUCCGAUUAAGCCUUUCGCUCCACCUUGGGACUUGCCUCUGGUUCUCCAAGCUCUAAAGUCUCACCCCUUUGAACCUUAAGACUCAGUGCCUUUCCAUUUACUCUCCAUUAAAACUGCCUUACUGGUAGCUUUGGCCUCAGGCAGAAGGUCUCGGAACUUCAUGCUCUGUCUGUCAAGGAGCCUUUCACAGUUUUCGACAAGGACAGGGUCGUCCUUCGUACUAUCCCAGAAUUUUGGCCUAAGGUCACCUCCACUUUUCAUAUUAAUGAGGAAAUUGUUCUCCCAGCUUUGCAUCCAGUUCCACAAGUGGAUGGUGAUGUCAGCGAUCUUUCCUCCUUGGAUUUGGUGACAUGCCUCAGAAUCUACUUUGACAGAACCACCCCUUGGCGUUCAUCUUCAGGCCUCUUUGUCCUUUAUAAUGGAUUUAGGAAGGGCAGUCAGGCUCCUAAAUCUACCAUUAGCAGAUGGAUUGUUUCAGCCAUCAUCCAUGCUUAUCAGGCCUCGAACGCUCCAGUCCCGGAUGGACUCAAAGCUCAUUCCACAAAAUCCCUUUCCUCCUGUUGGGCCUCCUCUGCCAAGGCCAAGGCCAAUUUGUAGAGCUGCCACUUGGUCCUCUGCCACUACUUUCAUAAGACAUUACCAAGUGGAUGUCAGAGCCGGUCAUUCGGACCAGUUUGCUAAAAGUGUCCUUUCUGUAUGAAACCCUUGAUUCCUGAAGUUUUGGUGUUUGUCACUUGGUUUCUGGUACCAAUACACUUUGCAUAUGAUAUUUCGGAGUCUUUGGUUUCUUUAUUUAUUCUUCCCUCCCUUGGUUAUUACUUGGGUAUUACCCAUCGUUGUGCUGCCAUGGAUAUGGCCAGGAAAAGGGAAAAUGUAUCCAUACUUACCGUAAUCUUCUUUUCCUGGUCAUAUGCCAUGACAGCACAAAGGUCCCGUUCUAGGAUAUUGCUAGUAACAAGACUGAGGGAGGAGGGGAUAGGAGGAGGUACUUAUACAUUUAUUUUAAUUAGUUCCUGUCUAAUUAGGGAUAGGAAGGAGCUACCCAUCAUUGUGCUGCCAUGGCAUAUGACCAGGAAAAUAAAAUUACGGUAAGUAUAGAUACAUUUUCCCUUAUAUACAUAUAUAUAUUUUAUUUCUUUUUUUAAAUUUAUUUAUUUUGUUUUUUAGUUUGUUUUAUUUUACUUUUAAUUGGGUUUCAUUGUGUUUAUCUUUGAUACAUACUACUGAUUCCUGCUCCAGUCUUGGAUUAUGUCUGGAUUACUUGAAAUUUUGCUUUAUUUUACAUUUUUUGACUGACUUCUGAGUUUGAAUAACUGUGGUUACUUCUUGUGUGCCAAUACUGUUUAUCCAAGAACUCGACUUGACUAUUUAUAACUUUUACUUUGAACUAACUUUUCUCUCUUAGACAAUGGUUUAAGAUUGUUAUUUUUUUUUCUCUUACAAUUGCUCACCUUGUCCCUAGUAGGCUUCUCUACCCCAACCUGGGUCUAACAUCCUGAGAUGGAGAAACUUUUUUUUAUUCUCUCUCAUGGCCCUUUUUUUAAAGAAUGUUCUUUUUUUCUCCCCUAUUAGGGGUAUAUACCCAAUUUUUUAUACCCUUUUUAAAAAUGUUAUUUUUACAUCCAUCCAUUUCUUUGGGACAUGCAAAAAAUCUCACAAAACACAAUUUUAUGUUAUAAUUUGUACAAUGUUUGACAGAAUUAGUUUAACAUGUUCCUUAACAUUCAGACAAGCUCAUGCAUACAAUAACUCUGCACACAUAUGUAAGAAGUUUGAUUCCAUUUUAGUAGUAUUGCUGGACUUGCUUAUAUCUUUCUUGGAGUGCGGAGGCUUGGACUCUAACAUUAUUAAGAGUUUUUUUUUCUCUUUACUAUUUACGAUUCAUAGUAUAAAUCAUGGUUUUAAAGUUUUUGUCAUCUAAUGUUAGCGGUCUGAACACCACGCACAAGAGAAGAUUAUUAUUUAAAGAAGCUAAGUCCUACAAGUCUGAUAUCAUCUGUGUCCAGGAAAAACAUUUUAAGGAUGAUAAAGACUCCAAGCUUUUCCCAACCCAAUUUUACUGUGUCUAUGAAGUCUAGAGGUGCAUCAAUUUUUUUCAACAGGAAUGUGGCAUGCUUUACAGAUAAGGUAUUAACGGAAAAUGACAGGAGAUAUUUGCUGUGGAUAGGUAAAAUCAAUAAUGUUGAGUAUACAAUUGUGAAUAUGUAUUUUCCCAACACCGGUCAGUUACGUUUUUUUUCGGAAAAUGAUGGAUCUGGUAAUUGAGAAUUUGAGAGGUAUUUUGUUUGCUAUUAAAAUGGAUGGAUACCCUUUCCCACUUCCAAGUUCCCCUUACCUUUCCUACCCCGAAAAUAAUGUUUGUCUGUUCAUUAUAAUUUGUUUAAAAAUGUCUAAAAUUGUAAUAAAAAUUAUUUGAAAAGAAUAGCAAUUUAACCAUGAAAGAGUGCAAUAAGCGAUUAAAGGCUUGUUGGUUUUUUUUUCUCCUUUCUAGGAUACAAGCACCAGAUGCCCUUCCCAUUGUGAAAGAAAUAAGAUGUUUCACAUAUCAUUUGCUUACGUGGAAGCAAGCUGAAAGCUAAAAAAAAAGCUACUUAUGAUAAAAUGUACAGCUAAAACACUGUCUACUCCAUCUUCAGAAAUGAUGGCAAACAUAAAUAUGACAGGGACCUAGAGAGACAGCUAAUAAGAAAAGACCCGAGCAGAUGGAAUUAGGAAACAGACCUGACUUAUCUUCUAAGGGUUCAAAUGAGGACAAAGUGAUUGCUGAGUACUGAGAAAUGUUCCUGUCCAGGAAGGAAAAUUAUACACCUGAUCCAGAAUUAUUUGAUACCGAGGUUUUGGAUAAUGGAAUCACAUUAUUACAAGCUCUUUCUACUAAAGAAAAUAGACAUUUAUUUAGAACAAAUGAGACAAAGGACAAAAAGAGCAAUUUUGUAUACAUUGUUGUUUAACAUUGCUCACAAAAUAAACUGAAUUAUGGGAAUUUACAGAAUUAUGCUCAUUCUUCUUUUCAUCCAACAUGAUUACUGCAUGUGAGUUUAAUACCAGUCUACAUUAUAUAAGGUUGUCUGGUUAAAUCAAUAUCUUACCAUUUUAAAAGCAACUACAGAAGCCUUCAUAUAUGCCCUAAUGAGUUUCCAGAGCAUUCCUUGCUUUCACCAUUCCUGAAAACAGUUCUAGACCAUGGUCAUGUUUCAUGCAUUCUCCAGUACAAGGAUAAGAGAAGGAUAAACAGUUAAGAACCUUACAGACUUUAUAUGCAAGAUAGAAGUUCAUAGCUUCUGAAAUACUUCCAUUUUGGUAUUGCAAUGCAUUGUAUAAUUAAACAAUCCACAUACCGUAUUUACUCAAAUCUAAUGCGCACCUUUAUUGGUAAAAUAAAGUCUCCAAAAUGUGAAUGUGCACUAAAUUCAAUGGCACAUUAGAUUCAAGUAUGAUUUCAGUACUAACAAAAAGGAAAGCACAGUGCAAUAUAGACAAAUCGCACUUACGUACUCUUGUUUAUCUAGUUCAUCCUCUCUAAACUACCUACUCCGACAACGACUGCUCCGAGAUACGAUGGGAAUGCAGUGCAUAUUUGCCAGGGUGAAAUUCGCAUUCUCAUGCGAGACUUGGUUUCUG